UUUUGUAUAUUUUACCACAAUAAAAACACUGGAGAAAAAAAAUUUUUUUUUAUCCUUACGCUUUCCACAGUUCCUGCAACUCCACGUGCAAAAGUUCCAAGCACUGAUCCUUCCACCAAUAAGGAGCGGAGGCCUGGGGUGUGACGCACUUAUAUCCGGAAGUGGGGAGUAGCCGGUAUCCUUGACAACCGUUUCUGUUACAACUAAACGGAUCUUUGAAGAUGGCGCUAUAGAGGGUGGAGCGACAGACAGCCCAUAAAAGAAACCUGCCCCCUAAGGCAGUAGCGAUUUUGUGGGCCAUUACGUGAGCUCGUGGUGGAUCGUUGGCGUUGGCGUAUUGGCUGCAAGUGCCGGACUUCUUCCACCAACUUUGAGACAGCAGCAGGAGGGGACCAGACUGGAUUGCAGAAAACUUCCGAGGAGUGUGGAGUGCUGCACAAGUGACUUGUUUCAGAUUGCUAUAUAAUCCAUUUCUUUCAAACCUGUGGAGGUGUGUGUCCGAACUUGAUUUCCUCAUUGCUGUCAAUUUUCAGAUUCCCUGUUUCUGCUUGCACCUGGGCGGCUUGCUGAGUGCCUGCCUCUCAGGAUCCUUGUGGAGGUUACAAUGCAUGUAAGUCACAUGGGAGAAGCAUUUUAAAAAUAUAUAUUGUUUUGAUUCACAAAACAAACAAAAUGGCUCCAGAUGAAGAUUUUUCACAGCCUAUGUGAGUGUUAGUUAGAACCAGUUAGAGGCCUUGUCCAUCAAGGUGCUUAGUUAAUUCAAAUAUGUGCACAGAGAAACUGAGCCUUAUCAAGUAAAUCCAUAGCCGGCACCAAGCCAUCAGGAAACCCAAAACCCAACAAGCCCUCUGCUUCCUUGGACUUUUGAUCAAAACGAAGUCACCUCACACAACUGGCUAGUAGA
rnacentral:lncRNA from 1 species